rnacentral:rRNA from 1 species
AGGGCACUGGAAGGUCCCUAAACCGAAAGGGGCUCUGCCCGCCCGAGGAUGGGCCGGCGGCCGAUUAGGUAGUUGGUGGGGUAACGGCCCACCAAGCCCAUAAUCGGUACGGGCAGUGAGAGCUGGAGCCCGGAGAUGGACACUGAGACACGGGUCCAGGCCCUACGGGGCGCAGCAGGCGCGAAACCUCCGCAAUGCUCGAAAGAGCGACGGGGGGACCCCAAGUGCCGUGGUACAACCACGGCUUUUCCGGAGUGUAAGAAGCUCCGGNAAUAAGGGCUGGGCAAGGCCGGUGGCAGCCGCCGCGGUAAUACCGGCGGCCCGAGUGGUGGCCACUAUUAUUGGGCCUAAAGCGUCCGUAGCCGGGCUUGUAAGUCCCUGGCGAAAUCCCACGGCUCAACCGUGGGGCUUGCUGGGGAUACUGCAAGCCUUGGGACCGGGAGAGGCCGGGGGUACUCCUGGGGUAGGGGUGAAAUCCUAUAAUCCCAGGAGGACCGCCAGUGGCGAAGGCGCCCGGCUGGAACGGGUCCGACGGUGAGGGACGAAGGCCAGGGGAGCAAACCGGAUUAGAUACCCGGGUAGUCCUGGCUGUAAAGGAUGCGGGCUAGGUGUUGCUUGGACCUCGAGUCCAAGCAGUGCCGCAGGGAAGCCGU